CCUACGGGUGGCUGCAGUAGGGAAUUUUCCACAAUGGACGAAAGUCUGAUGGAGCAACGCCGCGUGUGUGAUGAAGGGUUUCGGCUCGUAAAACACUGUUGUAAGAGAAGAAUGACAUUGAGAGUAACUGUUCAGUGUGUGACGGUAUCUUACCAGAAAGGAACGGCUAAAUACGUGCCAGCAGCCGCGGUAAUACGUAUGUUCCCAGCGUUAUCCGGAUUUAUUGGGCGUAAAGCGAGCGCAGACGGUUGUUUAAGACCGAAGAGAAAGCCCUAAGCUUAAAUGUGGAAGUGCUUUCGAAACUGGAUAACUUGAGUGCAGUAGGGGAGAUUGAAACUCCAGGUGUAGCGUUGAAAUGCGUAGAUAUAUGGAAGAACACCAGUGGCGAAGGCGGCUCUCUGGACUGUAACUGACGUUGAGGCUCGAAAGUGUGGGUAGCAAACAGGAUUAGAUACCCUUGUAGUC
rnacentral:rRNA from 1 species